UGUUCCUGACCUGGGAAGGGCUGGACAGAGGAGACAGCUCUGUUCCCACCAGGGCUGUCACCAUGGGAACUUUAGGGACCGAGGCCAUUUACGGCUAGUUGUAAACCCUGACUCUGACAGCAAAGCCUUUCUUCGCCUUUUCCUCUGGACUUGGCCCUGACUGUCUCAGAGAAAGCAGGCUCGAAUUCUACCUCCGGCUGGCUCUGCACACACAUCCCCUGGCACUGAGCGCUGGCCCGCUGCGUGGGAGCUGCUCGAGCUCAGCUAAGUGUCCUGGCUGUCUCUCCCAGAGAAAGUGGAGCAGAUGCCUGAGGUUGCUGAGCAUCACAGGUCUGACAGCUCUGCAGACACCUGCAGAUAUGCAGAGGGAGAGAAAUGGUGGGUUGGCAGUGCCAUUGCCCCUUGGAGGAGCUCUCAGAUCAAUUUGUGAGGCAAAGGAUCUCUGCGGAAGUGUGGAUCCCCUCGGCAGACUCCCAGCUUUGAGGCUGGAAAGGCUCAUCUUUCAGUUUGGCCAAAACUGAAAGUGCUGUGGUGAAAAGAUGGAGAAACAGCUGGCAGGAGCCAGCCUGUGGAGAAGAAGUUGAGGGCAGAAGGACUUCAGCAGCCAAAUCUCAUCUGGUCCUUCUUCUGGUGCCAAAUGCUCCUGUGAAAGCCACUUGGGUUGUGCAGUUCCUGAGGACUACCCCAGUUUGGAUGCCUGCCCAGCCUUCCUCUAGAGAGAGAGAGAAGUUCAAACAGACCUGGUAUCGAUGCUGCUCUGUCUCAUGGGAGCUACAGUCCAGGUAGCUCAUGACCGUCUUGUCUUUUGCAGGCUCAACACCCUAGCUGGACCACUGAUCCCACUGUGUGCCACAAUGCCCUGCUAACAAAAUGUGGUGGCAUGACCAUGGUCAUGGGAGUCUCCAUGGCAGGGGAGCGUCUGGCAGGGCAGGACUUGGGGACCAGGAGGCAGCCCUUGUUCUUCACGGUGAAGGCCUGGGGGAGAGAGGGCAUUUUGCCAGACUGCCUGGCUUUCAGGAGUUCAGGUUUGUGUUAAAAAGUAAAAGCUCAUUGCAGAAUGCAGAACCUGCUGUUACAGCAGAAUAAAAAAUUCAAUACUCAAUACUUUGUUAUAAUUUGGACUCAAUGAUCCUUGUGGGUCCCUUCUGACUCAGGAUAUGCUAAUACAAAGAGAAAGCUCCAAGAGAUACUCUCCAGCCACUCCAAACAGAAAACCUUUCAGGGGAGAGCUGCCCACAGCUCUCAAUUUUCCAAUGGCCCUUGCAGGCACAAAUACUCUCCACCUCAGUUUUCCCCACAGCUUGAGGUCCAGCUCUGCCCAUUGGGCCUGCCAGGACCUGUGACCCAUCUGCAUAGGAAGACAUCUCCUGGCAAAGUGACACUUGGAAUAACAUGGACCACUGCUUUCUCCAUUCUUCCGCUUCAUGCGCCCUGAUUUCCGUGGUGGAUGAGUCACUGGCUGGCACCUUGGCUGAAGAUGGACGAGCCACCCCCAUACUGCUGACACAGCCUGAAUACAGACUUUCUGCUCUUACCUAGGUAUGAGAUCAGGAAGAGGAGAUGUGCUUCCUAAGAAAAAGUGACUGAAUUUGUUCUAGGCUUCCUGUGGGAUUCUGGGAGAAAAAUGAAAAGACUUUGCUGCUUUGUGAGGAAGGUGCCCAGGAAGUCUUCAGCUGUGACAGUUUGCAGGGGAACCGUGAGACAUCCCAAUGGGGAGAGUUCCACGUGUCAGGAGGUGUUUGGAGGAGCUGCUACUGGGUGGACGUCAACAUCAUUUUGAUAUGGAGGAGAGCAGGAAUGCUGUCAACGCCACGCAUCAGUCUUUCUGUUGCAGACUGCAGGCGUUAUUUGUUUGGACCCAGUUCGCCAAGGCUCUUUGCAAACUAAGUGGCUCUAGUGAGGUGACCCUUUGGGAGGGUGCCUUGCUCUGCCCCUCUUCCUCUUUGACUGGAUGGCUCCUUGCAUCUCCCAGCCAGCCAAGCCUGCUGUGCAAAGCUGCCAUCUCCAGCACUGUGCACAGAGUGAGCACUGUGUGAACAGCUGGCUCUGAGCGUGCUGCCUCACAGCCUCCAGAGCAAAGGUGGCCCCAGGGUACUUCCCAUGGAUUUUCCACCCACAGGUGCCACCACCCUUCCGGAAGGAAGCAGUCAGCCUUGUUUGGAGCAGCUGUCUGGCAAAUGCAUCCUCUCUAUCACACAGCUGCCUGACCCAGGACAAAGCAACCUGUGGCCUCAAGGAGUGAAACACAGCGUUGAAAACAGAAAGUGCUGCACACAGACAGAGCAAGUGAUGCUCUCCACUGGCUCCUGUGACAACCACCUUUCUGCUUUUCAGUCUUUGUCAGGAACAGGAAUGAUCUUUGUAGUUUCUUUUCUUGCCUGGUGCUGCCUUUGCAUCUGCUGCAGAGCAGAAAUUCAAGGAGAUGGAUGCAGACCUUGGUCUGCUUUGUGGAAACACUUCUAAUGAUUUAAGGUUAGGUAAAAGUUUUCAAUUAACAAAUCCUACCUGCUGACCCCACAGCACGUGAUCCUCUCAGAUUUUUUGCCAGCAUUUCUCACACUUUUGUCUUGCUUCAAACAGGAAAAAAUGCUCUUGGAAAAGCUUCUAGCAGCUCCAGAAUGGGUCCCUGGAAACUUGGUGAGCUAGUUGCAAUGUAGAGCUCAGAAGUGCUCUUUCCACAUGUGCUACCUCUUGGAAGCCAAGGAGGGAUUCCUAGGGCCAGGAAGAGAGAGUGUAUGCCACCAUGUGGCAGCAGAUUCCCAAGUGUGGAGCUCAGGAGAGCUUCAGGCAAGCCCAGCUCAUUGCUCAAGCUGGAGGACAGCCUGGCCCUCACAGGCAGAACUUCAGCGAGGAGUUAUGACCUUCUGUGCACAGACAGGGAGGUGCUGUCCCAUCUCCAAAUGUACCAGCCACCCCCUCCAUGAAGGUAAGAUUUAUUCUGCAAUUGAGCAGCCCUGGAAUUUACCAUGGAAGACAAUAUUCAUCUGAGAAUUGUAUUCCAACACCAAAGACCCAUUAUUCACAGUGACAGCCAGCAGAGCUGAAAAUAAACAAAGAACAAAGUCAAAUCAAGUAGCUUUGGACAGAAACCACCCUGCCUCAAGGCAGAAGACAACUUCUAAGCAAGAGAGACAACUUCUGAGGAAGAAACUCUUUUGGAAGCACAUUAUCCCACUGAUGCAAAACUUCUUGCCUUUCUCUCAGAAGCAACCAAAAACCAGCCUGCCAGAAAACUUCGGGCGAGAUGGAGGCUUAAUUUGAUCCAGGCUGUUCUUAUCUUCUGCAUUUUCACUGUUAAAAAAAAAAAAAUCAUCUUUCUGGCAAUGAAGAGAGCCCUAAAUAUCUGAAGUUAAUAUAAAAAGCCACUGCAUUGUUUGUAGUCUGAAUUAUGCUGCAAUGAGGACUCUGAGCUGUCACUCAUAUCAACAGGCUCUUAACUCUAAACUCAGCAAUGGCCACUCCAGCCUUAGCUUCCCUCACUAUUGCAUGUUGCCUGAGGAUGUGUUUAUCCCCUAGGCUCUGCACUGCCCUCCUAGACAGCAAAAUGCCUAUUUCUGCCUCCUCAACAGCUCUUCUAGGGUGUUGCACAGUAACUGCUGUCCUGUAUUCUAUAAAUACAGCACUGUCAGCUUACAUUUGAAUAUAGAGAGGAGUAGCAUUAGGGCAAUUACCUGCUUGGGUUACUUGGGUAUUUCAUUCUCUUAAGUGCUACACUGUAAUUUGAAGGUGGUAAUGAAGUAUUGACAAGUCUGAGAUCUUUUUCCCUGGAGAUCCAGGUACUCUAAAAGGCUCUGUUCCCAAAAAAACUUGGAGUAAACUUGUCCUGAGCAUCUGGAUCGGUGCAAGGUCUAAGAGGCUAGACCACACUGGCAGACCUCCAAGGCCAUGUGCUAAUUUGCCCUGGUGGAGACUCCAACCUGUUGUUGCUGUCUGGGAAAACCAGAUCCAUGUGUCCUUGAGAAGAGCACAUAGAAGAUCAGAGUGUGGACUGGGGAAAAAUGGACCAGAUCUACUCCUUCUGCUUCCCUCUGUACUUGUGCAAGGUAGACCAAAGCAUUGACUCAGGAGGCAGGUGAGCCUGUGCAAACCAGAUGCAGCAUGGAGGAAGAGGAGGAGCAGGAGAACGAGGAGGAGGAGGGACAUGGGAUCUUCAGUAUCAGGAUGGAAAUGUGAGACUCCCAACUUUCAAAGGUCAUCCAGUUGGUCUCACACUUCAGCUCACACUGGCUGGGGAAACAGGUCUUCAUAUACAGCAACCAACACUCAAGACAAAUCAAAAAGCAUUUAAAAUUAUUGUCCUGGCUGGUUGCUCCAGGUAAGUAUUGUAGUGAAUCUGGAGGUGCCUUUUUCCUGGAGUGCUGUGCUCCCAUUAUGCUGGCCAUGAGCUGCAUGGGAUCAGGGCUUGGCACCAUGGGUCACCAGACACAGUCACCUUAACCAGCUUAAACCAUAGCUUGACUUAGGCCUCAAACUGUGCCACCCAUCCCAAGGGAAGGUCUCUGAAACAGAGAGUGACCGCCCUGAAAAUUCCUCCUGUGGUCACUUUCGUAAAGGCCUGCUCAGCUCGGAGAGGGAUGGGGAAAGAAGUUAGUGGCAUUCUGUCUUUAAAAAGCAGAAUGUUUCAGCUGUGAUUCAUUUUGUCUGGGGAUUUGGCCUGUUUUGCUAAUUUGUGGGAAGCCAGUUCAGCAGAAUUGGUAACCUGUUGUUUGCCAAUGCCACCUUUGCGAUGGAAGGUUGUCACCUUCCACCUGGGAGAAAUCGGGAAUACUAUUACCGACACAGAUUAGGGCACAGUGUCAUUUCCUUCAUAAUGUCCUUGAAGAUGUGCAGAGAUGGGCCUCUUGUGUCUGUGGGGCUAGUCUGGCUGAUUUUUUUCUUUCUUUCUUUGAAAGAGCAAUAAACACCUUUGGACUGCCCCAUGGAGGCCUGAGUUGUAGCACAUUGUCCUCAAUUUGCCUUCUGCUCCCACUGCCUGUUGUCUUUGCUCCUUUGUAGCAUAUGUGAGGAUGAAUAUGUCUGUCCUAAGAAAUUGUCUGCAGUCAUUUUGCACUCCCUUUGACAUCUCACAGGCCACUUGUGGCCCACAGACCACAGGGUGAGAAUCACUCUAUGGGGCGAUGUCUACUGAGUUGCCUCCCAGAACUCAGGUUCUUUGAAGCACAUAAAAAGAAGUAGUUUCUGUCCUGGAAAAGACAUUGCCUUGGGCAGACAAGCACGGGGGAGGCAAGGACAGGGACACCCCAACCACCCAGCUGGACUGUCCUCCAGCCCAGGAACCUGACUCUGCCAGAGUUACUGUCUGAGCAGCCUGGGUGAGAAUUUUGGGGGUCCCACUUGCAGCUGUGCUGUGUCAUGAGAUGGGGAUGCUAGCAAAGGGCAGGCAGGUAAGGAGGUGCAGUGUGGGUCUGUGGUGGGAGGGAGCAGAGGGGGAGGAGGGAGCUCUCGCCAGCCCCACCACACUCCAGCAAUCAAAGCCCAGCCUCUGUAAUUAAUACUAUUUAGCCCAGGUUAGUAGCAGAGGAAAAUGUCUCUUGUCAGCCUGGCUUUGCCCACUGGCCCUGAUUUAGCAACAUGAAAGCAUUUUUUCUGAUUAACUGUUCACUGAAGGAGAUAAAAGAGAUGACCAUGAAAUGUUUUCUUUAAUGUGAUGAAUGUAAAGGGACUGGUAGAGCUGGAAAGGGUGAGAGGAGAGAA